rnacentral:rRNA from 1 species
ACGGAAGGCAGCAGUGGGGAAUAUUGGACAAUGGGGGAAACCCUGAUCCAGCGACGCCGCGUGAGUGAAGAAGUAUUUCGGUAUGUAAGGCUCUAUCAGCAAGGAAGAAAAUGACGGUACUUGACUAAGAAGCCCCGGCUAACUACGUGCCAGCAGCCGCGGUAAUACGUAGGGGGCAAGCGUUAUCCGGAUUUACUGGGUGUAAAGGGAGCGUAGACGGCAUAGCAAGUCUGAAGUGAAAUGCAUGGGCUCAACCCAUGAACUGCUUUGGAAACUGUUAAGCUAGAGUGCAGGAGAGGUAAGUGGAAUUCCUAGUGUAGCGGUGAAAUGCGUAGAUAUUAGGAGGAACACCAGUGGCGAAGGCGGCUUACUGGACUGUAACUGACGUUGAGGCUCGAAAGCGUGGGGAGCAAACAGGAUUAGAUACCCUGGUA